GCUUUUUCUCCGGCCGAAGAGCAGUGAUCCGAAGCAGUUCCGGUACUGUGGAUGUACCGGUAACUAGAGGCUGCCCGCAGGGAUCAAUCAGCGGCCCAUUUAUCUGGGACAUACUGAUGGAUGUACUGCUUCAGCGUCUCCAGCCGUAUUGCCAGCUGAGUGCAUACGCGGAUGACUUGCUGCUUCUCGUCGAGGGAAAUUCCCGAGCUGUGCUAGAGGAAAAAGGAGCGCAACUAAUGUCCAUCGUAGAAACGUGGGGAGCGGAAGUUGGCGUUGCCGUCUCGACCAGCAAGACGGUAAUCAUGCUGCUGAAAGGUGCCUUGAGACGUGCGCCUACGGUGAGGUUUGCUGGAGCGAACCUUCCGUAUGUGCGUAGCUGUCGGUACCUUGGCAUCACGGUCAGUGAAGGAAUGAAAUUCCUCACGCACAUAGCUUCGCUUCGCCAGCGGAUGACCGGAGUCGUUGGAGCAUUGGCGCGUGUGCUUCGAGCCGACUGGGGCUUCAGUCCUCGAGCCAGGCGGACCAUAUAUGACGGACUCAUGGCACCUUGUGUGCUGUUUGGUGCCCCGGUAUGGUAUGACACCGCGGAACAAGUAGCUGCCCAGAGGCGACUAGCCUCCUGCCAGAGGCUAAUCCUGCUUGGAUGCCUUUCGGUAUGCCGAACAGUGUCCACAGUGGCACUGCAGGUACUUGGUGGAGCUCCCCCGCUUGAUCUGGCUGCUAAGUUAUUAGCGUCAAAUACAAGCUAAAACGUGGAUUCCCGCUGGAGGAGAACGACUGGCUUUACGGCGAGGACAUUGCGUGUCUAGCUGGGAGCAGAGGAAGACUCGCCUAGAGGAGUGUUUAAUCCAGAGUUGGCAGAACAGAUGGGACGACGACAGCGAACCAGGACGGGUGACGCAUAGGUUUAUCCCAUACGUCACUCUUGCCUAUCGGGAUCCAAGUUUUGGAUUCUCGAUGAGGACGUCUUUCCUGCUUACAGGGCACGGGUCGUUCAAUGCAUUUUUGCACGGGAGAGCCCUCAGCGAUACCACUGCUUGCGCAUGUGGAGAUCCAUAUGAGGACUGGAUGCAUAUCUUGUGCGCUUGCCCCCUAUAUGCAGAUCUGCGGGACCUAGAUGGACUUGGAGUGCAGCGCCUUGGCGAAAACUGGAUCUUCGAGGAAUCCUGGAUGAUCAAGAGAAGACUCAACGGCUGGCAAUGUUGCGGAGAAGUGUUCCUGAGGAGGAGGGGCGUUUAGCUCAACAUCUCUGCCGUGUGGUUAGCGGGCGAGAAUACUACCACAGUCCGCUGUUGCUUGUCGUAAGAGACGACUAAUACAGCGAUAGGAUUCCUCUAACCCUGCUUGUCGGAGCAAAAGGGGGAGGCCCACCGAGCCUCUUUUCGGUACCACGGGUUGAGCAGCUAUCCAAGACUGCUCAUUGAGGUAGGCCCCCUGGUGGGAGUAUCGUGGUGGCUGUGGUUGGUACCCAUAUCGCGGGUAGAGCCUUCAUGCUCGACGUUUGAGUUACGGUGCUAGUUGCGCAAAACUCGGGUGCUGUGACCCAGAGAUCAGUAGAGAUUUUAGGUAGAUCUCGCUCCUCAGCAAGGGGGAGUGCUUGCCCGGCAAGCAAGUACUCGAAUUGCUACCGGGGUGGUCGCUAUGUACAUAGCUAUAGCUUCUAGUCCGGGACGCUUGUCUGGCGUAUCCAGACACAUGCACCAUAUGCUCACUUGUGGGUGUAUAGGGUGCCGUGGUUGUAAUCCCUUCAGUGUGGAACACGCCACGUAAAAUAAGUUCGGAGGGAUCCGAAAAGCAUACAUUGUCCCUAUCUACUAUCUAGCGAAACCACAGCCAAGGGAACGGGCUUGGAAUAAUUAGCGGGGAAAGAAGACCCUUUUGAGCUUGACUCUAAUCUGGCAGUGUAAGGAGACAUAAGAGGUGUAGAAUAAGUGGGAGAUAUUAGACCUCGGUUUGGUAUCGUCAAUGAAAUACCACUACUCUUAUUGUUUCCUUACUUACUUGAUUAAAUGGAACGUGUAUCAUUUCCUAGCCAUUAUACGGAUAUAUUUAUUAUAUCUUAUGGUAUUGGGUUUUGAUGCAAGCUUCUUGAUCAAAGUAUCACGAGUUUGUUAUAUAAUCGCAAACAAAUUCUUUAAUAAAACGAUGCAUUUAUGUAUUUUUGAUUUGAAAAUUUGGUAUAACUCCAAUUACUCAGGUAUGAUCCAAUUCAAGGACAUUGCCAGGUAGGGAGUUUGACUGGGGCGGUACAUCUCUCAAAUAAUAACGGAGGUGUCCCAAGGCCAGCUCAGUGCGGACAGAAACCACACAUAGAGCAAAAGGGCAAAUGCUGACUUGAUCUCGGUGUUCAGUACACACAGGGACAGCAAAAGCUCGGCCUAUCGAUCCUUUUGGUUUAAAGAGUUUUUAACAAGAGGUGUCAGAAAAGUUACCAUAGGGAUAACUGGCUUGUGGCGGCCAAGCGUUCAUAGCGACGUCGCUUUUUGAUCCUUCGAUGUCGGCUCUUCCUAUCAUUGUGAAGCAAAAUUCACCAAGCGUUGGAUUGUUCACCCAUGCAAGGGAACGUGAGCUGGGUUUAGACCGUCGUGAGACAGGUUAGUUUUACCCUACUAAUGACAAAACGUUGUUGCGACAGCAUUCCUGCGUAGUACGAGAGGAACCGCAGGUACGGACCAAUGGCACAAUACUUGUUCGAGCGAACAGUGGUAUGACGCUACGUCCGUUGGAUUAUGCCUGAACGCCUCUAAGGUCGUAUCCGUGCUGGACUGCAAUGAUAAAUAAGGGGCAAUUUGCAUUGUAUGGCUUCUAAACCAUUUAAAGUUUAUAAUUUACUUUAUAAACGACAAUGGAUGUGAUGCCAAUGUAAUUUGUAACAUAGUAAAUUGGGAGGAUCUUCGAUCACCUGAUGCCGCGCUAGUUACAUAUAAAAGCAUUAUUU
rnacentral:rRNA from 1 species